rnacentral:SRP_RNA from 1 species
GCUGGGCAUUGGGGUGGGUGCCUGUAGUCCCAGCUACUUGGGAGGCUAAGGCAGAAGGCUCACUUGAAUCCAGGAAUUUAAGGUUGCUGUGAGCUAGGCUGAGACCACAGCACUCUCGCCUGGGCAACAAAGUGAGACUCUGCCUCGA